rnacentral:misc_RNA from 1 species
AAAAAAGCUAUAGCUCUCAUGGGUUAUGGUUGCAUUUUCUUCACCAUAAUUGGCUUCUCUGCAUCAUUCCUUCUUUGUUUGCCAAAUUUAAAAAGAUGGCAAAAGCAGCAAAUUGCAGAAAAGAAACUGAGGUUAAUAAAUGAGGCAUUGGAGCAUGCUGAAGAAAGGGCAGCGAGAUUUCAACAAAGGCAUGAUCAGUUAUUAAGCCAGAUAUGCUCACAUUAUUUGUCCCAUCAAGACCUUGAGGAGGCUUUGGCUGCUGCUAGGGCUGCCAUGAAUGAGGCUUUGGAGUUUGUCGUUAGAUUAAGAGAGAUGCAAAUCAAGAUCUUGAUCAAUUUCCCAGAUGAAGCUAAUCUUUCUGUGUUGGAUAGGUCAUGACAUGACUUGGGCAAUAUUUUUUGUAAAUAAAAUCUACAUUUUUG